UGGGGAAUAUUGCACAAUGGGCGCAAGCCUGAUGCAGCAAUGCCGCGUGAGUGAAGACGGCCUUAGGGUUGUAAAACUCUUUCGCUAGGGAAGAUAAUGACGGUACCUAGUAAAGAAGUCCCGGCUAACUCCGUGCCAGCAGCCGCGGUGACACGUAGGCAUCAAGCGUUAUCCGGAUUUAUUGGGCGUAAAGAGCUCGUAGGCGGUUCGGUAAGUCGGGUGUGAAAACUCUGGGCUCAACCCAGAGAGGCCACUCGAUACUGCUGUGACUAGAGUGCGGUAGGGGAGCGGGGAAUUCCUGGUGUAGCGGUGAAAUGCGCAGAUAUCGAGGAGGAACACCAGUGGCGAAGGCGGGUCUCUGGGCCGGAACUGACGCUGAGGAGCGAAAGCGU
rnacentral:rRNA from 1 species